UACGGAGGGUGCAAGCGUUGUCCGGAUUUAUUGGGUUUAAAGGGUGCGUAGGCGGCCUUUUAAGUCAGUGGUGAAAGCCCAUAGCUCAACUAUGGAACUGCCAUUGAUACUGAAAGGCUUGAGUACAGACGAGGUUGGCGGAAUGGAUGGUGUAGCGGUGAAAUGCAUAGAUACCAUCCAGAACUCCGAUUGCGUAGGCAGCUAACUAGGCUGUAACUGACGCUGAGGCACGAAAGCGUGGGGAGCAAACAGGAUUAGAUACCCUGGUAGUCCACGCUGUAAACGAUGAUUACUCGAUGUUGGCGAUACACUGUCAGCGUCUUAGCGAAAGCGUUAAGUAAUCCACCUGGGGAGUACGCCCGCAAGGGUGAA
rnacentral:rRNA from 1 species